AUCGGAGUACUCGGAACUUGAUCUCUAUUACAGGGAGGUGCGAAAACUGAUAUUAAAGCCUUGCGGGGUUUCGGUUGGCAUUCUAAGUAGUGAAUGUCUAUCAGAACAUUGCGACGGUUAUCACGGGCUCGAGGAGAGUAUCGGGUCGUGACAAGAAGGCCCCUAAAUUGAACUGAGGUUUGAAUCAUGGUGAUGAUAGCCAGCUUGAUCAUUAAAUUAUUGACUUGAAUAGUUGGCCGUCGAAUGCUUGAUGGAAUCCCUUGCACCAAUGGGAUAGCAUAAUCUUUUAAGCAUCAAUUUUUAGCUGCUACACGUUCUUAGAUUUGCUAUGCACCUUGUUGAUCAGCCAUUGUAUUUAUUGGAGUGAAACCUUGUUGAUUUUCCCGUCGAAAUCUACGAAAUGUUUUCUCAAUUUUUGAAUCACAAGGUGAUAUUGGAGUAAUUUGAGUUAUUGAAAAAGUUAAGCUUUCGACAAAAGGUGCCAAGAGGAAAAAGGGGUACGCUUCAAAAGGUGGGUAGAUAUGGCAUUUUUAAUUAUUUUAAUAUAAUUAAGCAUACCUAUUCUACAACCUCUCAUUAAAACAUAUUGUGAUGGACUUUGUGAUGUGAAUGAUGGUUUCAAAAUUGUUUAAUGAAAUCUAAAUAUACUAUGUACAUAGUUUUGCGCAUGGGGAACAAGCCUUUUGAAAUGUUUGAUGCCUCAAAAUUUAUAUUUGUCUAUGACUAGUUGAAAGAUUCCAAAUUUGGAAAUUUAAAAUGAUUUGAUUUAGCCUUUGCUUCAAAAUUUAUUUUGUUGAUGAGGGAGAAUAUACUUUGCUCGAAAAUAGACUUUGUACACUUGACUUCAUUCUAUUGAACCCUUUGUUCUUAGAUUCAUCUUUUUAUGUGGGAU